GGGGGGGGGGGGCCUGGAGGAGGGUCUUUAUGCGGCCGCCCUGGGGGGCCGGGGCCUCAGCAGUGCGCUAGGCCUCUGGGGCUGCGCUUCUCACAGCUGUCGCUGGGGACACCGGGCCUCCUGUCUGGUGGCCUCCGCGCAGGCCCGGACACAGCCGGAAAGAAGCGCCAGUCCCCUCCACGCCACAGACGCGCUCCAGAAUGGAGACGAAGCGCGCGGACGGCGGACGGACCGGACGGCUCCUCCCCCAGCCAGGCUGCUCCGCCAGCUCCGGACGGCUCCUCCCCAGCCAGGCUGCUCCGCCAGCUCCGGGAGGGCGCUCACCGGCUGCUGUCAGCACAGGGGCCCUUGGGGAGGGUGCCUGGCCGCUCCCGUGCCUCCUCCCGGGCACACGGCGCCGUGUGGAGGAGCGCCGGGCUUUGCUCGCUCGGCCCAGACUCCUCUCCAGCCGGCGCUCGGCCGCCGAGGUGCACAGGCUGGGCUGGCUCUGCCUCCUCGCCCCGCUGGCCGGAGCAGGGUGGGGGUCGGAACCUGGGCCGGAAGCAAAGUCCGCUGCUGCGCCUUUUCCUUGCGGGGAGGCCUGGGUGGCCCCGAGGGCUCCCCCUCCUGAGGGGCUCCCCCACCACCUCAAGCUCCUCGCUGAGCGCAGCAGCCACUCAGGCAGUGCUGGCCGGCCGAGCGGGCCCUGUGAGAGCAGCGCGUGUGACACCUUGUCGGUGUCGGCUCCUGGAUCUGUGUAAUUAGCACGGCUGCUCUGGCCGGGGCGAUGCUGUCUGUGGCGGUCAGAGCAGGAAGACAGCUCCCUGUCUGCAGACUGGAUCGGGCCAUCGCACGGUCUCAGACUCCUCUCCUGGCUUAGGGACCAGGGUGCCGACCACAGCCCCGUGGAUAGGAGGAGAACUGCAGCGGCCAGCCAGACUCUAUGACCGUCCCUGUGACUGCCUGGCCUGCCCUUCCCUGGAGAGCCCAGCAGCAUCGGCAGGGACACAGUGAGGUGGGCAUCGGUGCACCCUGAGUGCUUACUGAGCAUGCGCUGGGCUGGGGACCAUCCAGCAUGGAGUACAAACAAGCAAGACAGGGACUGCCAUGGGGGUCUCAUCAUACCCAACACAUGGGCAAACCCUAUGUCACAGCUCAGUGACAGAUGUCUCAGGGCCACUGGGAAUGGGAGGAAGCUGCCAGAAGGCCAGAUGGGAGGGCGGGAAGAAGCCAUAGACACCUGUGCAGCCGGGAAGCUCUAGACAGCCUGAAGGUGGAGCGUGAUCUGUCACGGUGUGUGGGGUGGGGCUCAGAGAACGUGUCUUUCCCUUGUGGACCUGACAGGCCAGAGGGCUCCCAGCUCACAGAGGAGGUAGCAGCAGCAGAUGCCACUGUGAAGAGAACAGAUAAAGCGUCCAGAGUCCUCACAAAAAAUUCGAGAGGACUUUGAGUGGGACCCUUCGGCUGUAGGGGCUGGAUCUUGAAGAACACAUAGAACACGGGAAGGUAUGAGAGAACAUUCCAGAAAGAGGGUUUGCAAAGGAGCCGUUCCAUCCCUAGGUGUGGGGC
ensembl:lncRNA